rnacentral:misc_RNA from 1 species
GCGAGGAUGUGGAUGGAGAGCAGCAGAUACAUCGCCCCACCAUGUUGGGUUCCUGGUGUACCACUCCAUUGUCAUCUUUAGCCCUUCUUGCCAAGGAGUUCUUUCCUGCCACCCAAGUUUCUUGAGCUUUUGAUCAUCCAAGAAAUAUCUCUGAUCAUUGAAAGGUCUGUCUUGAACGAAGUUUAUGGCUUUUUUAGCAUCUAAUCCAAAUAGCUUACAAAUGUCCUCCGCUACAUCUAGGACUCGUCUCUCCUUCUUGGUACCAAUAUUGUACACAUGUCCAAUAACCCCCUUAUGAAGUAUGACAUCAAACGCCUCUGCAACAUCGUCACAGUGUAGAUAGCUUCUCACA